GACGAACGCUGGCGGCGUGCCUAAUACAUGCAAGUCGAGCGCAGGAAACUGACGGAACUCUUCGGAGGGAAGGCAGCGGAAUGAGCGGCGGACGGGUGAGUAACACGUAAGGAACCUGCCUCAAGGAUUGGGAUAACUCCGAGAAAUCGGAGCUAAUACCGGAUAGUUCAACGGACCGCAUGGUCCGCUGAUGAAAGGCGCUCCGGCGUCACCUUGAGAUGGCCUUGCGGUGCAUUAGCUAGUUGGUGGGGUAACGGCCCACCAAGGCGACGAUGCAUAGCGGACCUGAGAGGGUGAUCGGCCACACUGGGACCGAGACACGGCCCAGACUCCUACGGGAGGCAGCAGUAGGGAAUCUUCCACAAUGGACGAAAGUCUGAUGGAGCAACGCCGCGUGAGUGAUGAAGGUUUUCGGAUCGUAAAACUCUGUUGUAAGGGAAGAACACGUACGAGAGGAAAUGCUCGUACCUUGACGGUACCUUACGAGAAAGCCACGGCUAACUACGUGCCAGCAGCCGCCGUAA
rnacentral:rRNA from 1 species